AUUGAACGCUGGCGGCAGGCCUAACACAUGCAAGUAGAACGAGUGGCGGACGGGUGAGUAAUGUCUGGGAAACUGCAUGAUGGAGGGGGAUAACUACUGGAAAAGGUAGCUAAUACCGCAUACCAUCGGAUGUGCCCAGAUGGGAUUAGCUAGUAGGUGAGGUAAAGGGUCACCUAGGCGACGAUCCCUAGCUGGUCUGAGAGGAUGACCAUCCACACUGGAACUGUGACACGGUCCAGCCUCCUACGGGAGGCAGCAGUGGGGAAUAUUGCACAAUUGGAGCAAGCCUGAUGCAGCCAUGCCGCGUGUAUGAAGAAGGCCUGCGGGUUUUAAAGUACUUUCAGCGGGGAGGCGUUACCCGCAGAAGAAGCGCCGGCUAACUCCGUGCCAGCCGCCGCGGUAAUAC
rnacentral:rRNA from 1 species